UACAGAGGUCCCAAGCGUUGUUCGGAUUCACUGGGCGUAAAGGGUGCGUAGGUGGUUAGGUAAGUCUGAUGUGAAAUCUCUGGGCUCAACCCAGAAACUGCAUUGGAUACUAUCUAGCUAGAGGAGUGGAGGGGGGACUGGAAUACUUUGGUGUAGCAGUGAAAUGCGUAGAUAUCAAGUGGAACACCAGUGGCGAAGGCGAGUCCCUGGACACUUCCUGACACUGAGGCACGAAAGCUAGGGGAGCAAACAGG
rnacentral:rRNA from 1 species